CGAUGACUGGGCACCUCCGAACGACACCGACGCUGAACAAGUCGAAAGACAAAAGAAGUUCAGCGGACGACAAUUUAAUGCAAUACGUAGACGAGAUAACACAAAAUCUCUUUUUCAUUUCAUUCUCAAAAUAUACACUACAAAGCCCAGCAGACUAAAGGAAGAAAAGCAAAACAACAAGAACAAGACAAAACAAUAAAAGAAAAAAUAUAUGCAUGGG
rnacentral:lncRNA from 1 species